CCAGACCACCAUGAUAUUCGCAUAUAGAAUCUCGCUCCUCUUGCUUCCCUUCCUGACAUCUGUCCUCUCUCACAAACCACACGUUGCUCUGAAGUUUGGAGAUGACCUCCUUAGCUACAUAAUGAUAAACCCCGACAUGUCACCUCUGGAAGAGGCAGUGUCGGUCUGUAGUUGGGUCAAACAACUGAGUCCUACUUCACACCAUGGAGUCUGGAUGGACUACAAUACUCAGGAUUCUAGUACUGAGAUUUUUCUCUCUGAUAAUCUCUACUGGGCUUUUCUACAAGGAAGCAAUACUCCGCACAGCCAGACACCAGUACAUUCUCAGUGGUAUCAUGUAUGCCUAGCCUGGUCCUUUAGCAGUGGUACAGCAACGCUGUACUACAACGGUAAGCUGAUAGGGUCUCGCAGCACCGGUAGAAAGUUGUCUGUCUCUACUGGCUCCAUUGUUAUUGGACAAUAUCAUUCAACCUACAAAAUGGAGGCUACCUUUUAUAGCAGUGCUCGCUCGUUCGGUGGAGAAUUAACCAAGCUGAACAUCCUGAAACGGAAAGUCUCCGACCAAGAGGUAGCAAAAAUGUAUAAAUCAGGAGUAUGUUCCAACUACGAAGACACGCUAGAAAACGACAUCCACCUCUCUUGGGAGACGCUGCUGUCAGAUGACACUGAAAAACACGGGAAUAUUGUAAAGCUGAGCUUAACUUGUCCUGCCCACACACACGAGCCUACCACUGGGAUACCCACCACUGUGGGACCUACAGAAGAGUCUGAGGGGGGUUGCAAAAAUCGCUGGGCUUUCCUACGCUUAUCCGACAUUUACAAUAAGACAAUCGAGAAGGAAAUGCUUCAAGACUUGAUAGAGAGAUGGGAGCUUCUUGCCGAGUUUGAUGGCCAUCAAAUAGACGACACCCUAAUAGCACAUUUGACAAAACAUCACUGUAGCAGCGAAAUACUAAGAGGAGACAACGAAACUGAGGAAUCUGGUGAUUGCAAUAACCGUUGGGCCAUCCUCCGCUUUCCUGACUUUUUCGAGAACGAAGUAACAUCAGAAAUGAUCGAGGACUUGAGAGGACGCUGGGAGUUACUAGCUGAGUUUACAGGGCAUACAACUGAUAAUGCUCUUAUAGCUCACCUGAAAAAACAUCACUGCAAAACUGUGGAAUAAUUGACAGAUCUACAAAACCAAAAAGUCACGUGACACCUUAACUGAUCUCUGCUGAGUGCUGUGUGUGAUAUGAUGGAUUAACAAUUGAAACACGGAAAAAACAUUUCUUAACUUAACCUUAGAUAAAACAUUGUAAAAAUACCAUCAACAGUUUGUGAUUUGCAUGUGAACUCGGAACCACGAUUAAAAUUCGAUUAGACCAAUUUUUUUCAAUAACUGAUCAUAUAUGAAUAUCCAAAACAUCCUAUUAAAGUUAAAAUUUUAACAGCUGUUUUCAAGUUCACAUAGCCAUGUCACAUGUGUCUACGCGUACUGCGUGACUGGUUAACUUUAAGAACUGGUAUCGUUUGAGUAAGU